rnacentral:lncRNA from 1 species
UUCAUUCAGACCAAACUAAUGCCUGCAACUAAUGCCCACACUACCCCGAGUCCCCGACUUAGCAUUCACUCCACAAAACCCCACAGCUAACCCCAACUCACUCCGACUCUCUCGCUCUCCGACUCACUCCAUAGCUUCCCCGACUCACUCACAACCCUAAAUCCACCGCCUCUGAAGCCCCUACUCUCUGGUGCGAAGCAUUCGAAGCCCUAAAUCGGAGAUUUUCUUCGAAUCCGUUUUGAUUUCAGGUUUUGAUUAACUGAAGGAUUUCGAGUUCGUCACAAAUGACACUUUUGAUUUGGGGUUUUGAUUAACUGGAGAUUUUCAGCUUUUGAUUCCUUGAAGAAUGAAACUUUGAGCCAUCACUUGACUAUGUAACUUUGAAGCGUAAAGGUACUUUUUGAGGAAGUUGACGAAAGUGAAGAAGAGCAGUGGACAAAUCUUGGCCAUCAAUGAGUGGGGGUGAUAUCGAUUGGAAAUUGAAGUUGAAAGGUUGAUGUUGAUUGGAAGGAAACUCUUAAGACGCUGCUGGAAACUCAAACUCAAAGUGGGAUAGGAGAGCCAACCAUAUUUACGGUCAAGCGGAACUUGAUGAAGUGUGUAAUGAGCUUGCAUAUUAUGUGAUGAAGAAUCUGCUGAAGUUGUGAAGUACUAUUGGUCUUUUUUGGGUAUAUAUAUGUAAGGUCUCAAGUGCAUUAGGCUAGAUGUUGGUCUUUUUUGGAAUGGCCUGAAUUGCAAGUGUUCUAUAGAUGUGAUCAUGUAGGAUGAGACUAUUUUAGUCACAUUUGUGGAAGGUUUUUGCUAUUAGAGAUCUGUAGACGUGAUCAUUUCUAUUUUGUGGAUACAAUUACCAUUAUUGGAUCAAUUUAUGCGAUUAUAAUAGCUAUUUAUUAUGAGACAAUUACUGUUUAUUUGGUCAAUUUUUGGUUCCAGCUUAAUUU